UACGUAGGGUGCAAGCGUUGUCCGGAAUUUAUUGGGCGUAAAGAGCUCGUAGGCGGCUUGUCGCGUCGGCUGUGAAAACCUGGGGCUCAACCCCGGGCCUGCAGCCGAUACGGGCAAGCUAGAGUUCGGUAGGGGAGACUGGAAUUCCUGGUGUAGCGGUGAAAUGCGCAGAUAUCAGGAGGAACACCGGUGGCGAAGGCGGGUCUCUGGGCCGAAACUGGACGCUGAGGAGCGAAAGCGUGGGGAGCGAACAGG
rnacentral:rRNA from 1 species